rnacentral:rRNA from 1 species
GAUGAACGCUGGCGGCGUGCCUAAUACAUGCAAGUCGAGCGAACGGACGAGAAGCUUGCUUCUCUGAUGUUAGCGGCGGACGGGUGAGUAACACGUGGAUAACCUACCUAUAAGACUGGGAUAACUUCGGGAAACCGGAGCUAAUACCGGAUAAUAUUUUGAACCGCAUGGUUCAAAAGUGAAAGACGGUCUUGCUGUCACUUAUAGAUGGAUCCGCGCUGCAUUAGCUAGUUGGUAAGGUAACGGCUUACCAAGGCAACGAUGCAUAGCCGACCUGAGAGGGUGAUCGGCCACACUGGAACGGGGACACGGUCCAGACUCCUAAGGGAGGCAGCAGUAGGGAAUCGUCCGCAAUGGGCGAAAGCCUGGCGGAGCAACGCCGCGUGAGUGAUGAAGGUCUUCGGAGCGUAAAACUCUGUUAUUAGGGAAGAACAUAUGUGUAAGUAACUGUGCACAUCUUGACGGUACCUAAUCAGAAAGCCACGGCUAACUACGUG